rnacentral:rRNA from 1 species
UACGUAGGGUGCGAGCGUUGUCCGGAAUUAUUGGGCGUAAAGAGCUCGUAGGCGGUCUGUCGCGUCGAUCGUGAAAACUUGGGGCUUAACCCUGAGCUUGCGGUCGAUACGGGCAUGACUGGAGUUCGGCAGGGGAGACUGGAAUUCUUGGUGUAGCGGUGAAAUGCGUAGAUAUCAAGAGGAACACCUGCGGCGAAGGCGGGUUGCUGGGCUGACACUGACGCUGAGGCGCGAAAGCUAGGGGAGCGAACGGG